rnacentral:rRNA from 1 species
GUGAGUAAUGCUUAGGAAUCUGCCUAUUAGUGGGGGACAACAUCUCGAAAGGGAUGCUAAUACCGCAUACGUCCUACGGGAGAAAGCAGGGGAUCUUUGGACCUUGCGCUAAUAGAUGAGCCUAAGUCGGAUUAGCUAGUUGGUGGGGUAAAGGCCUACCAAGGCGACGAUCUGUAGCGGGUCUGAGAGGAUGAUCCGCCACACUGGGACUGAGACACGGCCCAGACUCCUACGGGAGGCAGCAGUGGGGAAUAUUGGACAAUGGGGGGAACCCUGAUCCAGCCAUGCCGCGUGUGUGAAGAAGGCCUUAUGGUUGUAAAGCACUUUAAGCGAGGAGGAGGCUACUUUAGUUAAUACCUAGAGAUAGUGGACGUUACUCGCAGAAUAAGCACCGGCUAACUCUGUGCCAGCAGCCGCGGUAAUACAGAGGGUGCAAGCGUUAAUCGGAUUUACUGGGCGUAAAGCGCGCGUAGGCGGCUAAUUAAGUCAAAUGUGAAAUCCCCGAGCUUAACUUGGGAAUUGCAUUCGAUACUGGUUAGCUAGAGUGUGGGAGAGGAUGGUAGAAUUCCAGGUGUAGCGGUGAAAUGCGUAGAGAUCUGGAGGAAUACCGAUGGCGAAGGCAGCCAUCUGGCCUAACACUGACGCUGAGGUGCGAAAGCAUGGGGAGCAAACAGGAUUAGAUACCCUGGUAGUCCAUGCCGUAAACGAUGUCUACUAGCCGUUGGGGCCUUUGAGGCUUUAGUGGCGCAGCUAACGCGAUAAGUAGACCGCCUGGGGAGUACGGUCGCAAGACUAAAACUCAAAUGAAUUGACGGGGGCCC